rnacentral:rRNA from 1 species
UACGUAGGGGGCUAGCGUUGUCCGGAAUCAUUGGGCGUAAAGCGCGUGUAGGCGGCCCGAUAAGUCCGCUGUGAAAGUCCAGGGCUCAACCCUGGGAUGCCGGUGGAUACUGUCGGGCUCGAGUCCGGAAGAGGCGAGUGGAAUUCCUGGUGUAGCGGUGAAAUGCGUAGAUAUCAAGAGGAACACCUGAGGUGAAGACGGGUUGCUGGGCCAACACUGACGCUGAUGCGCGAAAGCCAGGGGAGCAAACGGG